rnacentral:rRNA from 1 species
AACGAACGCUGGCGGCAUGCCUAACACAUGCAAGUCGAACGAGACCUUCGGGUCUAGUGGCGCACGGGUGCGUAACGCGUGGGAACCUGCCCUUAGGCUCGGAAUAACUCCCCGAAAGGGGUGCUAAUACCGGAUAAUGUCUUCGGACCAAAGAUUUAUCGUCUUUGGAUGGGCCCGCGUUGGAUUAGCUAGUUGGUAGGGUAAAAGCCUACCAAGGCGACGAUCCAUAGCUGGUCUGAGAGGAUAAACAGCCACACUGGGACUUAGACACGGCCCAGAAUCCUACGAAACGCACGAGAGGGAAAUAUAGAGCGAUAAACGAGAGCAUGAACCCGCAAGGACGCGUGAGUCGUAAUGGCCUUAUGGUACUAAGGCUAGUUAAGCCGCGAUGAGAUUGACAGUACCAGGAGAAUAAGCACCGGCUAACUCCGUG